GAUGCUGACGAGUGGCGAACGGGUGAGUAAUACAUCGGAACGUGCCCGAUCGUGGGGGAUAACGAAGCGAAAGCUUUGCUAAUACCGCAUACGAUCUACGGAUGAAAGCAGGGGACCGCAAGGCCUUGCGCGAACGGAGCGGCCGAUGGCAGAUUAGGUAGUUGGUGGGAUAAAAGCUUACCAAGCCGACGAUCUGUAGCUGGUCUGAGAGGACGACCAGCCACACUGGGACUGAGACACGGCCCAGACUCCUACGGGAGGCAGCAGUGGGGAAUUUUGGACAAUGGGCGCAAGCCUGAUCCAGCCAUGCCGCGUGCAGGAUGAAGGCCUUCGGGUUGUAAACUGCUUUUGUACGGAACGAAAAGACUCUGGUUAAUACCUGGGGUCCAUGACGGUACCGUAAGAAUAAGCACCGGCUAACUACGUGCCAGCAGCCGCGGUAAUACGUAGGGUGCAAGCGUUAAUCGGAAUUACUGGGCGUAAAGCGUGCGCAGGCGGU
rnacentral:rRNA from 1 species